UUGUGGGUCCUGGAUGAGUGGCGAACGGGUGAGUAACACGUGAGUAACCUGCCCCCUUCUUCUGGAUAACCGCAUGAAAGUGUGGCUAAUACGGGAUAUUCUGUGCCUGCUGCAUGGUGGGUGUGGGAAAGAUGCGCCUUUGGGUGUUUUUGGUGGGGGAUGGGCUCGCGGCCUAUCAGCUUGUUGGUGGGGUGAUGGCCUACCAAGGCGGUGACGGGUAGCCGGCCUGAGAGGGUGGACGGUCACACUGGGACUGAGACACGGCCCAGACUCCUACGGGAGGCAGCAGUGGGGAAUAUUGCACAAUGGGCGCAAGCCUGAUGCAGCGACGCCGCGUGAGGGAUGGAGGCCUUCGGGUUGUAAACCUCUUUCGCCAGUGAAGCAGGCCUGUCCCUUGUGGGUGGGUUGACGGUAGCUGGAUAAGAAGCGCCGGCUAACUACGUGCCAGCAGCCGCGGUAAUACGUAGGGCGCGAGCGUUGUCCGGAAUUAUUGGGCGUAAAGAGCUCGUAGGCGGCUGGUCGCGUCUGUCGUGAAAUCCUCUGGCUUAACUGGGGGCUUGCGGUGGGUACGGGCCGGCUUGAGUGCGGUAGGGGAGACUGGAACUCCUGGUGUAGCGGUGGAAUGCGCAGAUAUCAGGAAGAACACCGGUGGCGAAGGCGGGUCUCUGGGCCGU
rnacentral:rRNA from 1 species